GGGAGAAUUUGGAUUUUUUUUUUUCUAUUUCAGUAAGAAACAUUUCUUCCUUUAUUGUUAGAUGGCCCGAAUAGCAUGGAAAUCUGUCCAUGACCGGUCCUAUUUAUUAGCCAAAUAAGAUGCCUUAAUUAAAAAAUACACACCACAGCAGAAAUCAUCCAGAUAAACUCUCUAUCUCUCUCCAACAAACCUGGAAAAUAUGCCUUCACUUGGGGCCAUGUAGUCACAGCCCAGCAGGUAAUAAACUCUAUUUUUUAAAGUACAGGUCCCAGGGAAAUCAAGAGUGUAAGUGGAGUAGACAUUUAUUUCAAAGCUGUAAGCAUGCCUGACUAUAGAAAAGAGGUUCGAGAUCUUUGAGUAUGCUCCCAUUAUAAGAACUUUUCUAUACAUUCAUGUCUUUAUUUUCUUCCAUUUCAAACCUGUGAAUGGAGUCAACUGACCGUCAUUUCUCUCUCCUGCUGAGUCUGUAGAUUACCACAUGCAACGUAGGAAAACUACGGAAACUAGGUUCCUGGCUCCGGGACCUCAGGUCAGAGUGCUGUAUCUAUUGCCCUGUACCUGGUCUCCCCUCUGCAUGGAGAGUGUGAGUUAACUGACACCUCUAGGGUGUAAAGGUCCACACAGUCCUCGUCCUCAGAAUGGUGGUGGUGUGAUAAUAAUGGCCAUGACACCUGCAGUUGGUUGAGCUCACGCUAUGUGCUAGAUGACUUAUAAACACAAUUUUAUUUAGAAAAAUACUCCAAUGGUGCUGACAAAAUGAAGAAGCCACGACUUGGGAAACUAACAUGUCUGGAUCAAGGUCAAAGACAUGGGUUGGAACUCAGGUCUGACUGUUUCAAGUUUAUGUCUUCUUACCACAUCCUUCUAAGUUAAGGUAAAAAAUUUGAGCAGGGUGACCCUACGUUCCCGUCUAUCCCUGUUGUCCCAGCAUAAUCAGUAGGUCCCCAUGUCAUGCUCUGAAGUGUCCCCGUUUGGAGACUAAAUGAUCACUCUGUCCCCAAACAAGCUUUCAAAUGAAAUUCUCAGAGUAUUCAUAAUGUUUUAGUUAAUCCUUUUGCCUUUAACGAAGGACUUCAAACCAGUAGCAAACUGGGCCUCGCCUGGUGUAUGUGGGACAACAGAUGGGUUUGUGAAUGCCUAUCACUUCUUUUGCUUCUAUGCCUCUGUCCUCUCUCUUCAGGAAUCUUUGUCUUUCCUUUUUCUUCUCUCCUCCUAGCAUCCGUGUCUUAUUCUAUGUAGGCUUUCUCUAGCCUACAGAUUCUUUGGGUUUACUUUAAAAAUACAGCUUGGUCACUCAUUCAGAUGUUCAAAUCUCUAUGAAUGGUCCUUUUGUCAAAAAAGAGAGUGAAAACCAUUUUAAGGAUCUGUAACUUAUUUUUCCUCCCUCCUUCUCCUUAAGCUUCCCGCUACUAUCCCCCACUUCUUCCACAGUGUACGGGUGUCUGGGGAGCUUCCUCGUCACAGAUCCUGGACGAUGCUACCGGCGGUCUCACCGGGGGGGCAACCACUGAAAGGAGUGACUACCCACCCAUCAAGAGCUGGCAAUUCGCUGCUAUUAACCGUGACUGUGAUUCCCAGUCUGCCUGGCAGCUCCUGAGAACAGGCCUGCAACGUCUCAUAUGCAGUAAAAGCUGUAAGAUGCACCCUGGCCGGCACACUCGACCUGAUGGAUGUGCGAUCCUCGGGAAGGCUAAUGGAUUGAGCACACUUGCGAUUGGCGCGGGGACGGGAGGCCCAGACCCCCACGAGGGGCCUGCUGAUUUAACGGUCGCUUUACAUAUAAUUGAACUUUUCAUUUACCUGAAAGGCUGAAGGUGGUGGUGGAAGAAAGGGAAAGACCAUGACGGAAGGAAAAAACUCAAUAAAUACAAAAAGGUCCCUCUUAAAUACGAUCGCGACCCCCGGUGGGAGCUCUGACUCUGUUAGGACACAUUCAGCCCCUCGUUCAGAUUCCAGGACGCUUGGCAAAGUAUGCCCUUGUGGAGAAGCACUGUUUGUUGGUUAAGAACCUAACAUUCGGAGAGUUAACUUAAUACAGUUAAUGACAUUUCCAUGUGAAGGAAGGGAACAGGAGAAUUCCUUUAAUGAAACUCUGGUGCCAGUGAAUGCAUUGUCUAUGCCUCAGUAGAAAAAAUGCCUUCUGGAGAAACUCCUAUCAGGGAAUUAUGGAGAGGGGGAGCUGGACUUCCAGAAGGAUGCCUAAUGUAAUAUCAGUUUGCAAUAUCGAUUUUGUCAUGCACAAAAAGCCCCCUUGCCUCUUUGAAUUUAAGGUGCUUUGGAACUGUACCCAUAUGCUUUGGAACUGUACCCAUAUGCCUUACAGAUCAGUGGUUGGGAAACAAAACCGGAAUCCAACGGCAGAGCGCUCCAUACUUUGAGGAUUUUGGUGAUUGGGGUGGUUUGCUAAGAGCGGUGAUGGAAACUCGGUGUCGUAAGUAGCUUUCUAUUAAUUUGAAAUGAGAGCAUACGUCAUUGAUGUUCUUGGGCAUUUCCUAAAUGCGCGGUUACAGGACUGAUGGAGGACUAUUUUAUUGUUGUCAUUUUAAUCCAAAUAAUCAACCACUCGGUGAGUCUAAGACAAGUCAAGAUGAGAGCAAGUACUCUUUUUCAGGCCGCUGCUACUGGGUACCCUGUGGAGACUUCUCCUGUUCAGAGAGAAGGUGCCACUGGGUGGCUGUCUUGCCGUGACACCUCUACCUGCUGCCAGACUGCGGAGGCCGCAUACAGGCCAGGCCAAUACCUAUGGUUAGACGGGAGAGGAAAGGACUCAGGGCAGUGAUAGUGGGACCGAAGCAAUCUAAUUCAAUCUCUGUUUUGACAUUUAAAUAAAGGUACUGCUUUUAAAA